UUUCAUUCUACUUUCCCUGGUUUCACCUGAAAAAGCAUUUCUUUGGGAAAAAGAAAUGUCUCGAAGAGGAAGUAUGAGCCUGAGUUAUUCUGUGCACAGCCUUUUCUUCAGUUUUGUUCAGUUCUUUCUCCCUAUCAAACCUUGUCUCAACCCAUAUUCUUAGACCUUCGGGGUCUGAAACAUAUGGCCCAGGGCUGAUAUCCUUUCCUAGGUGAAAACCAGUUAUCUUCCCCACCUUCUGCAGCUGGGAGUAGAAGAUACGGGUUGUUGACAUUCUGGCUGGGGUCAGGCCUAUUGGGAUUUCUCAUGGGGCCCUACUGUCUCCAACAUUUUCUCAGCACUUCCUCAAACCCAGGAGGUUUGAAACUGGGGCUCCCUCCUAUACGCAUUCUGCCACAGCUGGGGCCUUGCAUAUGUGGGGCCUGCCUUCCUCUGUUAGAGAGGAAAUCUCAGCCUGAAUUGUUCUCUGCACGGACACACAUUUCAGGAAGAGACCUCACAGUCAAUGUGGAACUUCCCUCCCCUUGGCGAUUCCUGGUGAACAGCUGGAGAUCACCAAUCCUCAUCUAUCAUCAUAGCAGUGGGAGAGGACACGUCCCAGCGUAUCUACCUCAGGCCUCCUCCCUGGCCCUCCCUUUGGCCAGAAGUUCCCCUGUCACUUUAUACACACAUACAAACAAGCACUACACACCUUUUUGACAGCAUGGAAUGUCAGAGCUAGAAGGAACCUUAAAGAGAAUUUACAGAUGAAGAAACUGGGGAUGAGACUCUGGGUCCAGAUCCCCUUGAUUUUUCUAAUAUGGCUCUUAGGAACUUUACAAAUGGCCCACCACCCACGCACUCAGGAUGAGUCCUAGAAUAUACCAGACAUUCCACACAAGCAGCAUCACACUCCCACACCACAGUCUUCAGUCUCUCAGGAUCCAGAAACUGGGACCCUUUCAGACUCCUACAAGAGCUUUCUAAUAAAGUAGUCACCAGCCUACAGGAAAGAAUGUAGAAAGAACUGUGAGUCACAUGGGGCAGACGCAGCACAGAAGAGUCCACAUCAGAGACUUGGGUGAAUGACUUCAAGCCAAAAGCUGCUUCCUAUGAAGCACAUCACAUCUUACUGUGGAGAAGGAGAAGAUGGCAUCUACACUUACCAACCUAAAGACACUCUAGACCCAGAGAACUUGAGACCAGCUCAAAGUCACAAGACAAGCCAAAACAUGGUAGAACAAGCCUAGAACCCACAUGUUCAGGUCCCCAAGCUGUGGUUUUUGGUAGUACCCAUUCUUUCAUCUAUUUCAAGGAGGAGUGAAAUUUAAAAAUCCAUCCCUUUGUACCAACCUUUGCGUGCUUCCUUAACCCUAGUCCUUAAACAGCUGUUGGGGUCUAUUACCAGAACCACGUUCAAAAAUCUUUCUUCUUAAAGGUGUAUCGUCUCCCCCUACCAAGAAAAAAAAGCAAUAAAGAAAGCAUUA